rnacentral:rRNA from 1 species
UGAGGAACAUGACCUUCGGCGGGGGAUAGCCGACCCAACGGCCGGGUAAUACCGCGUACGACCUUUCGGGGACAUCCCCGGAUGGUGAAAGCAGCAAUGCGCCGAUGGAGUGCCUCGCGGCCUAUCAGCUAGUUGGUGAGGUAACGGCUCACCAAGGCAACGACGGGUAGCUGGUCUGAGAGGAUGGCCAGCCACAUUGGGACUGAGACACGGCCCAGACCUCCGUACGGGAGGNAGCG